GACGAACGCUGGCGGCGUGCUUAACACAUGCAAGUCGAACGGAAAGGCCCUGCUUUUGUGGGGUGCUCGAGUGGCGAACGGGUGAGUAACACGUGAGUAACCUGCCCUUGACUUUGGGAUAACUUCAGGAAACUGGGGCUAAUACCGGAUAGGAGCUCCUGCUGCAUGGUGGGGGUUGGAAAGUUUCGGCGGUUAGGGAUGGACUCGCGGCUUAUCAGCUUGUUGGUGGGGUAGUGGCUUACCAAGGCUUUGACGGGUAGCCGGCCUGAGAGGGUGACCGGCCACAUUGGGACUGAGAUACGGCCCAGACUCCUACGGGAGGCAGCAGUGGGGAAUAUUGCACAAUGGGCGGAAGCCUGAUGCAGCAACGCCGCGUGCGGGAUGACGGCCUUCGGGUUGUAAACCGCUUUCGCCUGUGACGAAGCGUGUGUGACGGUAAUGGGUAAAGAAGCACCGGCUAACUACGUG
rnacentral:rRNA from 1 species